CCUACGGGGGCAGCAGUGAGGAAUAUUGGUCAAUGGGCGGAAGCCUGAACCAGCCAAGUCGCGUGAGGGAAUAAGGCCCUACGGGUCGUAAACCUCUUUUGCCGGGGAGCAAGGGCGGGGACGUGUCCCGGCCUGGAGAGUACCCGGAGAAAAAGCAUCGGCUAACUCCGUGCCAGCAGCCGCGGUAAUACGGAGGAUGCGAGCGUUAUCCGGAUUUACUGGGCGAAAAGGGUGCGUAGGUGGUUUCUUAAGUCAGAGGUGAAAGGCUACGGCUCAACCGUAGUAAGCAUUUGAAACUGGGGAACUUGAGUGCAGGAGAGGAGAGUGGAAUUCCUGGUGUAGCGGUGAAAUGCGUAGAUAUUAGGAGGAACACCAGUUGCGAAGGCAGCUCUCUGGACUGUAACUGACACUGAGACACGAAAGCGUGGGGAGCAAACAGGAUUAGAUACCCGUGUAGUC
rnacentral:rRNA from 1 species